UUUGGGGGCUUGUAUGAAAGGUUUGACGGAGGAGGAGCUGUCUCUUAUGUGUUUAUGCUGAAUUUAACGUUUGUGUGAAAAGGCAUUAAUGUUUUAGAGGGACGAUAAGACCCUAUAAAACUUUACAUGUUUAUAUUGUUUAAUUAAGUUGUUGAGUGAACUGUUAAGUAGUUAGUUGUGUUUUGCUGGGGCGGCAGGAAUAUAAUGGUUAACUGUUUUGAAUAUGAAAUAUUUAUUAAUAGAAAGUGGUCCUUUGUUUGAGAGGUAAGAGUGAGUUACUUUAGGGAUAACAGCAUAAUUUCUUUUGAGAGUUCUUAUCGAAGAUGAUAGUUGUGACCUCGAUGUUGAAUUAAGUUUUCCUUUAGGUGUAGGAGUUUGAGGAGGAGAGGCCUGUUCGGCCUAUAAAUAUUUACAUGAUUUGAGUUCAA
rnacentral:rRNA from 1 species